UGCCGUACACGUGGAUCCGAUGAAGGACCCAAAUUAGGGUUUUCCAAGCCCUACGCUAUAUAUAAAACUAACUCGACACAUGACAACUCGGAGUCGCAGCUCUCUCUUUCUGUGAACAUCAACAGGUAUCAGCUAGGUUUAUAAUCACUCACACACUCACACACACACUGUAUAUAGAAUCUAUAUGCGUCGAUUACUGAUUACCGGUGCUCAUAAUAAAUGGGUUCUGUGUAUGAGCCGACGCUACAUCUUUUUAUACUCCUUUUCUGCCCUAAUUAUAAACCUUCGGAAGGCUGUUAGUUGAGCCUAUUACAAGCAGAUCUGGAGAAAUUCAUAUAUAUAUAUAUAUAUAUAUAUAUAUAACUUCAAUUCUACUUCUUGUUGUUUUGUUUUCUGUGAAUCAAAUUAUAUGAUAUGAUAGAGAUUGGAAGUGAUGAUUAUUUCCCCAGAUGAUCGAAAUUGAAAUUACUGAGCGCUUUUUGUUGUUCUCUUUUUGAGAAUCCAAGCCAGGAUUCUGAUCCAUCUCUCUAUAUAUAUAUUGUAAAUUAAAAUUAUAAAUUUAUAUUACUCUUCUUGGUUUGUUUUUAUUUUGUUUUGAUUCGUUGAACACUUGAAGUUGAAAAACACAAUAGUUGUUAUGGAAGUGAUGAUUAUUUCCCCAGAUGAUCGAUUCUGAAAUUACUGAGCGCUUUCUAUUGUUCUCUUUUUAAGAAUUCAAGCCAGGACUCUGAUCCAUCCUUCUUGUGACUUGUUUGGUUACAUAAAUAACUCGUGUAAUUGGUUUAUCCUAUGAUGUACUUCUCAAAUUGUUUCUUGAUUAUUUGCUCAUUUCACGAGUUUAUUUAAAGGUUUCAAUUUAAGUUCGAAUGUAAUUCAUUGAAUGAAUGAGGCCUACCCAUUUAUGCUAUUGCCUAUUGCCUUUCACUUAACAACUAAAUUAAUUUAUUCAUUGUAACAAAAAUAAUUCAUUCUUAGGUUGAGGCUUUAGGCUGUAAAUUGUGAGAGUAGGACUUUGAUGCCUAUCACUCAAUAAUCAUGUGAAAUACAUUGUUAAGUGUUGUAGUUCUAGUUCUCAUGUACAGAAUUAAAAACUAUAUGAUAUAUGUGGAUUUGUUAAAUGAUAAAUGCAGUCUCAUAUUCAUUUGUUCGAUUUUACCUUUUUAGAAGUUAUGACAUCCCAAUUUUGACCAAGUCCCAGGGGCUUAGAUUAUCCAAUUAAAUUACACUUUUGUACAUGUUCUAUGUGUAACCAGUCCUACUUAAUCACGGAACAGGUCCAUUACAAAAUAAUUUGUACUAUGUUCUGUAUGCCCCUUUUUAAUCAUGUCAUUAUUUCAUUUAUACUUGAGCAUACCAUGGAAUUAAAAAAUUUCUAUUGUUCUUUUCCAUUCUAUACUGGUUUUCCGUAAUUUUAUUGGCCUUCCAUGUUUAUUUUAUGUUUAGCUUAUUUUUAAGUUUUAUGAUUGCUGUAAAGUGUAGGUAGUGUUCAAACUUUAUUAUCUCGAUUUUGGAUAGGAGAAAUGAAAGACUGUUCUUGUAUCAACACUUCACAAGGUCAUGGUGGACAUUACAGCAAAGGGUUUAUUCCUUAUAUUUUGUGAAGUUUAUUCCAAUGGGACUUCUAGAGAUUGCUACAAUGGUAGGCGGAGUACUUUUUUGUUUUUAAAAUUCAGCUGGAAGGUCUCUCCAUAAAGCACGUGAUGCGACUGUGUGCUUGUAAUGCUUUCACUUUGAUAGCGUUGGAAAUGAUGAUUAUAAAUUUUGGUCAAAAUACCAACAUUGGUGGAGUUUUACCUAUCCAAGUUUUGACCCAGUUUUGGUAAUGUGCGGCCGACUUUGAUCAGGACAAUAAGAGAGUAAAGAAUGUAUCGUGCGCCUCUUUUGUUGAGCUAAUCAAGCAGGAAGGUCUCUCCAUAAAGCACGUGAUAGGCCUCUUAAUAUCAGGUGAUGCGGCUGUGUGCUUGUAAUGCUUCCACUUGAAGGAGGAAGGGGGAGAAGAAAAAUGGGUGUGUUACACUGCAACUUCUUCAAUGAACUAGUGAUGAUUUGGCUUACGUUAGUUUUUCAUUGGAGUGAACCUAAUUACUAUCUUAAAUUUGGUUGGAUAUAGAGUGCAACAGUUUUGAUUAUCAAAAUGAAUUAUUUUGGUAGCUUGUUA